AGCUGGUCUGAAGGUAACGCCUUAUCUCAAUUGAUUGUUCACAGUCAGUUACAGAUUGAACUCCUUGUUCUUUCUUUCCCCCUUUCUCACUAUUGCACUUGACUAGUCUUUA
rnacentral:Y_RNA from 1 species